UUUUUAUCAUCCUAUAAGUAACCAAAAUUAUUUGUUCUGAGUUCAUUAAACUUAAACAUUAAAACUAAAUUUAGUGUAUUGCUGAGAAAUGCCUAUAUGAUUUUUAUAUGCCUUUUUCUUGAUGACAAUAAUAAUUCACUUGAUAUAAAUAUAGGAAAUAAUUUAUUUAGUUUAUCACUGAAAGUAUAAAAAUUAGCGUGGCAAUGUGAAAUAAAUUGCAGAUCACUAUCCUAGGCUAUUUAAAACCAGUGUUUUAUUGGACACAUAUCGUCCUCACAACGUGACUCUGGACAAGAAAUAACACUUGACAGAACAACAGGCAGAAAAUGGGAAAAUUCAAUAAAUAUUCCUCUGUCAGCUUUCAGUUUCUUUGGUGAUAAGGUGUCUUAUGAUACUGGUAUUAUCACUGCUUCUGCUGCAAGGAGGGAUGACUACAGCUGAAAAGAAAUCGGUCUACAGCCCACUUGUUCCUUGAUGCUGCUAUCAAAACGACUGAGAUUACGCAUUCCAAUGGCUUCUGUGAAGGAGACACAGGGUUUGUUGGAGAUCAGGUUCCGACCAAAAAGCCUUGUCCACAUGGAGUAUUUUUGUAUCAGACAUUCAUCAAUUGACUACCUCCCGACGAUCUUUAUAAAUCCAUGAGCAGAUACAGAAGAAAAAAAUCUUGCAUCACACUGACUCCUUCAAAACAGACCAUCCUAUCGGGGGAAAGUACUUUUGUAUGAUUUAGAUAAAUUCGCACACAUUUGAGUCAAUAAAUCAAACUGGACACUUCACUUGAACUCUGUGUUGAAAACUUGUAAAGUUACCUGCAUCACCACCACUGCAAAACAACCCUUCACUUUGGACAUGAAAGCUGUGGUAUGUGAUGUAUAUAAAUUAGAAACUAACUGAUAGAACUGGACACACUAUAUGGAUUUGCUCAGACACUAAAAGAAUUUAGAAACAGCAUUAUUGCUACCAGGACCAUAAUUUUUCAUCGGUCGUCAAUGACGAGUUUGUUUGACCAUUUAACUCGUCCAUUACCAUUCCCUCCUCUCUGGAAUCACACUCUACGUCUACACUAUGUCCAAUCAAAGCACAUCCAACUGUCAAAUCUCCCCCCCCCCCCUUUUCUGAAACAUACUUGUCCUGUGUUUGGGGAGCUUAAAUAUUGCCACUGAUGGUGUCACAGUGGUAGUACACUCCUUCCAGAUGAUCAAACACGAGAUCACUAUUGGUAGUGAAAUACGACGCAACAUAACUCCACUACAUCCUGAAGAUGAACAUCAUGGUACCAGUGAAACCAGCCAUCAAUAUGAUGACAGUCAAGGCAAAGGAGAAAGCCACCUGCUCUUUGUUGCCAUUCUUCAAUCCAAUUUCCACCACAACAUAUCCGCUGUUUUGGAUUCCAGAAGGGAGGAGAUAACCUCGUCAGCAGAGCCAUCAUCCAACAUGUUGGGAGUGUAUGAUUCUCAAAUGAUGAUAUGGUCAUUACCAAUGUCCAGGUGCAUUAUAAAAGAAGACAAAGCAUUGUAUCUUGACAGUAUUCAAAGUGGGGACAGUAAUCUGUGCAGCCUGUGUGUAAUUAACAUUAUACUCAUAUGUCACGAACAACAUUACGCCUAGAACUGUGUUCGAUAAUAGAUCACGAUGAAUAGAUGCUCAAAAGCUGUGAGAUUAAGUUCCCAAGUGUGACCAUUUUUCUCUUUUUUUCUUCUCCUUCCUUGAAUUGCAUAAUUCCAACUCAUUCGAUACAAUGCUCUGUACUUGAUGUUCAGAAAUAAAGCAUUAUUCUAUUCUAUUAUACUAUAAGGGACAGCAUAUUGCCAUGCAUUUAAGCCUCAAGAGUCUUUGGUGCACAACAGAAGUAUACCAUGAGGCCAGCCAAUAUACAGUUUCAGCAGUUCUACAAAAUGAUCCUCCUGGGGAAAUUCACCACCCUCGUCCAGACUACCAAACAUGGCGUAGUUUUCCCUUGCUAUUGCAGAACAAUCAAAGAGCACCACACAAUCUACAGAGCGUAUUCAUCCAGAAGAUGCUUCCUCUGGUGACCAAGAUAUACAACCUGCGAAGACACUGAUCUACCUAAGAAGAGAACAUCAGACACUACCUUUGGAGAAUGUAACUGCAGGACUAAUCGAUUCAUCCUCAGACCCUUAGUCUCCACCUUCUUUCAUAUUCAGUUUGAACCCACUUCAAGACAUCCCCUGAUGGUUCACACCUCGAAAUACCACAUAACGGUUGAGGCCCUGUCAUGUUGGACACUGAGCCCAAGUUGGCCGGAGCAUCACAGCUCUUUCAUUACUAAAGACCUCCUCAUGACCAGGAACCCAACAGACAGUCACAUUUUUUUAUUCUGCCAAGGGAAGAAAAUACUUGAUAAAAAUCCCAGACAAGUUUGGAGUUCAACACACAAGAAUCCAACGCCUUUAGUAAACGAAACUAUCUGUGAAAGUCAUAAUCGUAUUACUCCUAUACCGCAAAGAUUUCAUGAAUUCUGUGACUUCUGCCUGAAAAAUCGUAGAGUCAGGACACAUGGGGACCACUACCUCCUUACAUGGUCUUAGCUACACAAUUCCCCCAUUCUCAUCCCAUCACACCAGUUCUCCACCAUUUUCAAAGCUGUAUUGAUCUAUGUGUAUUUCAAAGCGUGACUGUUGUGUUAUACUUGCCACUUACAAGAACUACUAUGUCAUCUGCAUACCUCUGUGCGAAAAUGCCACUACUGUACAAAGACACAAGCAGUCAUCCGCAACUACAUUCCACAUUAAGGGAGAAAGGACGUUACCAUGGGGACACCCUCGUAUUCUUGCACUGAUAAGAGUGGGCACCCUACCCGAAGACAGAGCCUUUAUCUAGUCGCAUGUCUGGCCAUCAGUACUACGUUUCGAGACUGUACUAACAAUUGCUUAUGUUGUCAACAUCCGAUGUCCGGAGACAACUGUGACUACGUCUCACUCUGCUCAAUCCUACAUACUAAUUGAUGCAGGGCUUAGUCGCAUGAUCUUCCUGAAGUGCUAAUUUGGAUGAAGAGUGCGCUACAGGGACGAUUCCCAAACAAACCUAGCAUUAAUUUUCUUCAUGGUUUUGAGAAUAAAGGAAAACAGACAUCGGCCUAACGGACUGCAUAAUCGGGGAGGGAGAAAAUCCAAUACCUGCUGCAAGCAAACCGUUCUAAUUUCUUCCCCACAGGACAUUUGCAAGGGCUAAACGAGUUGAUCUCUUGACUGUAUUAUAAAUCUGUUCUCUGUUGCUACCAUCAGAUUCCAGUUGUGUUUUUAAGUUUUCCAAGUCUGUAUUUCUUGGAUUCCUAUACUGCACUUUUUCAAGAUGUUACCUUGAGCAGAGAGGAAAGGCUCAUCAGACGCAUGCCAGUCGUGUACCCGAUUAACCAUACCCUCCCGUCAUAAUAGUCAUAUUCGUCACCUCUCUUCGCGAACUUAGGACCAUCACCCACAUCUGCAAUAUGUGGAUAUUAUAUAUUCUACAAGCGACUUACCACUGCUAUUUCUGUUGGUCCUGUCUCACAUCUCACUAUGUAAGUUAGUAUCGAAGCCAAUGAAUUCCACACCAUCUUCUCAGCAUGAUCCAUUAAAGACGCCAUCUAUCUGGAGGGUGCAGAAUCCACAUCUUCAGAUG
rnacentral:lncRNA from 1 species